AACUCUGUUUCUCGUCGAACUUCUGAGCCAAACCUACAAAUAAUCCAACUUUCAUCAACGGAUCUCUUGCUUCUGGCAGCCUCGGCGGAUCAGCCCGCGCCCGUAAGGGACGGCCCGCCCGAGGACCCCUAACUCUGUUUAGUGGAACUUCUGAGUAAAACAAACAAAUAAAUCAAAACUUUCAACAACGGAUCUCUUGGUUCUGGCAUCGAUGAAGAACGCAGCAAAAUGCGAUAAGUAAUGUGAAUUGCAGAAUUCAGUGAAUCAUCGAAUCUUUGAACGCACAUUGCGCCCGCCAGUAUUCUGGCGGGCAUGCCUGUUCGAGCGUCAUUUCAACCCUCAAGCUCAGCUUGGUGUUGGGACUCGCGGUAACCCGCGUUCCCAUAUCGAUUGGCGGUCACGUCGAGCUUCCAUAGCGUAGUAAUCAUACACCUCGUUACUGGUAAUCGUCGCGGCCACGCCGUAACCCCAACUUCGAACAUACACCUCGUUACUGGUGAUCGCCACGGCCACCCCGUAAUUCCAACUUCUGAAUGUUCACCUCGGAUCAGGUAGGAAUACCCGCUGAACUUAAGCAUAUCACUAACCGGAGGAACUAUUGUUCCACUUGCUCCACCGCUCAAGCGCACCACAUCCCUUCCAUUUCUAUCUUCCUUCGGUCUUACUCCCCAUGUUUCACUUACUUCAUUCGUUACCUCCUACACUUC
rnacentral:sRNA from 1 species